UUGUUGGUAAGGUAAAAGCUUACCAAGGCUUCGAUCAGUAGCUGGUCUGAGAGGACGACCAGCCACACUGGGACUGAGACACGGCCCAGACUCCUACGGGAGGCAGCAGUGGGGAAUUUUGGACAAUGGGGGCAACCCUGAUCCAGCCAUGCCGCGUGAGUGAAGAAGGCCUUCGGGUUGUAAAGCUCUUUCAGCCGGAACGAAACGGUUACGGUUAAUACCCGUGACUACUGACGGUACCGGAAGAAGAAGCACCGGCUAACUACGUGCCAGCAGCCGCGGUAGUACGUAGGGUGCGAGCGUUAAUCGGAAUUACUGGGCGUAAAGCGUGCGCAGGUGGUUUUGUAAGUCAGAUGUGAAAGCCCCGGGCUCAACCUGGGAACUGCGUUUGAAACUACAAGACUAGAGUGUGGCAGAGGGGGGUGGAAUUCCGCGUGUAGCAGUGAAAUGCGUAGAGAUGUGGAGGAACACCGAUGGCGAAGGCAGCCCCCUGGGUCAACACUGACGCUCAGGCACGAAAGCAUGGGGAGCAAACAGGAUUAGAUACCCUGGUAGUCCAUGCCCUAAACGAUGUCAACUAGUUGUCGGGCCUUUACGGGCUUGGUAACGUAGCUAACGCGUGAAGUUGACCGCCUGGGGAGUACGAUCGCAAGAUUAAAACUCAAAUGAAUUGACGGGGACCCGCACAAGCGGUGGAUUAUGUGGAUUAAUUCGAUGCAACGCGAAAAACCUUACCUACCCUUGACAUGUAUCGAAGCCCGCAGAAAAGCGGGGGUGCCCGAAAGGGAACGAUAACACAGGUGCUGCAUGGCUGUCGUCAGCUCGUGUCGUGAGAUGUUGGGUUAAGUCCCGCAACGAGCGCAACCCUUGUCAUUAAUUGCCAUCAUUUAGUUGGGCACUUUAAUGAGACUGCCGG
rnacentral:rRNA from 1 species